GCUGUCCCGGCGGAAAUGACAAGGGCAGGUGCGCGCCGCCGGAAGUGGCGGAGGUGGUGCGGCGGCCGGCGGCGCUGGGUCUCGUGUCCUGCUGCCCGGGGGUCACCGUGCCGGAUCCCCAGCGUUACCCCGCUUCCAGAGACGUCGGGCGUGCUCUCUUCCGAUCUAAAACGCUGAGAUUUAUGUCCGUCCACUAUGAAAUCGCGGAUGCUUUUGUAAUUAUUAGUCCAGUGCUUCCAGUUUUGAAGCAUACAAAGGAUCAGUGAAAGCAACGAAGAAAUCCUACAAAUUACUUUCUGCCAAGAAAAUCCUUCAGAUGCCACGAGCACUAUGUUAUUAUGAUUUGAUUGCAGCAAUAGAGUAAUAGAGAUGCAAAAAUAAGUUAUUGAGAGGAUAUGCAAAGUAGAUGAAGGGAGAGGUUUUGCUGAAAAAAUCACUGGUGAUUUUGCACUAAGGUGGUGGCACAAACACUGCUGUGUCCGUGAUUUUGUGACGUAACUGGAGUUUAUAGAAGGAAAAAGACUACAACCAUGUACACUAACCUGAUAAAUGUCCCAGCACACAUGCAAAAAAAAGUUUGAUCAAUUUCCGAAUAGUCAGUGGGAGGUGGUGGUUUGGUUUUCCUCAGUACUGUGCCACAUACAUAUAGUUACCACAUUCCGUGCUGUGGAGAUAGGCCUGCUAGUGACUGCUUUCAAACCUAUAAUUUUUAAUCAGAUUUGAGAGAAGCAUGUUAUACUUAAUUUCUCUAAAGAAAGAUAUUCCCUGAGUCCCAGGGUGGAGCUUAAUCACAUCUGACUCUGACACUGUCAGUGGUGUGACUCAAAUAUUCAGACCUAAAGGUAAGAGAUUCUCAUUGUCCAAAAGCAAGUUUUUUUUUUCCUGCACUGUGAAAAGCAACAUGGAAGGUUCUGAAUUAUCCAUCUGGUCUUAUCACCAGGAAGGAUAUAUUUAUGUCUGGAAGUCUGCUCAGCACUCAGUUCCAACCAGUCCUGUGAGUGCAGCACACUUCCUCACUGUCAUUCUUUGAGAAUAUUUGAACCCAGGGCUACUCAGAAAUGGAAUAUAGCUAAGUGAUAUUGGAUCAUCGGAUCGGUCAAACUUCGAAGGAGUUCGAUAUGAGUCUGGCACUUGCCUAUGUAAUGAUUUUUCUUGCUACAAGUCAGAGUGACGUUUUUGGAAUUCAUCUGGUAACCUGGUAAAGUUGCAAAGUUGUCUGGAUACUUGUUGUGUACAUAGUGGAUAAGGAUGCUUUAAUGCAUAUUUUUCCCAUCUUUCUUCAUAACCAGAAUGCUUGGUACUCCUUUGUGCAUCCUCAAGCCCUGACAGGAGUUACAAUUUCCAGAUAUCUGGAGUCUGUUCAGAGCAACCUUCAGCAGUCUUGUGUAUCAAGAGUUUGUACCAGAACAGUUUCUCCGUUAUCUCACGCAUUCUUGUGAACUGUAUUAUGGUGAUUAUAUGUUUUUACCUCCAGGAAGUGGCUUAACAUAUGCUCCUACUCUUUUUGUUCUUAAAAAAAUGCCAUCAGAAAUCUAUGGAAAGUAUUCUUUGUUCCCAAGGUAAAGACACAAAGUUUCACCCCUUAUCUAAACAAACAGCUUUCUCAGAAGUCUUAUUACCUCCCGAUACUAUGAGAGCUUUGUAUUCGAAUCUAACAUUAACAAUUUAAAGGAAAAAUGUUUUGAUAACCUCUUUUUUUAUGAGAUACUUAACAGUCAUUUUCUUUUGCAGGAGAAAGUUGUUUGUGGAUAAUUUUAUAGGCUAUUGCAUAUCACAACAGAUGUACAUUAUCAGUGUUUUCUUUUUCUGGCCAAAAAGACUAUAUCCUUCUUUUCUUCCCUUUUUUUGUCCCCCUUCCCCUCCUAGGCCUUCACGCUGUUUGACAUUAGGCAUAUCAUUUGACCUGAAAGGAAGGGAUGAAUGGUGGACUACAGUAUUUAAAUAUAGUGGGAAGAAGUGAUAGAUUUUGCAGCUUUUCUGCUGAGCGGUGUAGCGAUUGGACAGACCAGUAUGAUGGGAAAAGGCAUUUCAUCAGAGGUGCAAUGACAAGAGGAUCAGCACAAUAGAAAGAUGCUAUAAAGGAAAGGGAUUACUUACCUGUAUCAGAAGAUUUCACAUCCACCGAGGAAAGCUUCGCCAAGGAGAGAUGUCUAAAGAGAUAUCUUCCCCAGUGGGGUGUAAGAGAGGUGGAGCCAGGCUCCACCCCUUCCUGUCACACAGCUGAAUUGCCUUUCCCUGUGCUCCCACGGCUGGCCCAGUCCUUUCCCCAGGUGCUCAAUUCAGGCUGUGUCUCAACAGUUCCCAUACAAGUGGAAAGUUUGAGCAUCAGGAUUAUCAUCAUUGCUCAUAAAUCAGUGCCACUAUCUAUCAACGAAUGUUUGAAUAAGCUAAUUGAAAUAGGACACCAUCUGUCCUUCCAAACUCAGAGGUACCUGGAAGAUUCUACCUCUUCCUGCGUUGUCACCAUUUGCCUUUUGAUUUUGCAGAAGUCACAUUGUUUUUCACAGAGACAAACCUCUGCAUAUGGAAGGUAGCUGCAGGCCAGUGUUAACAUUGGCGAGCCCUCUUGCUGUCUGUGUCACCAAGAAAAGCACAGGAUUGUACUUGUGCUCCAAACUUCUGAUUUUGCUUUUCUCUACCAAGUGCUUUUCACCUGAACUAUUGUAUUGUAAGUCUGCAACAAAUUGAAUUUCAGCGUUGUAAUGAAUGCCCUGACCACAACAGUAAGUGGACUGCCAGAGGAUUUCUAAUUCUUGCUGCUGAAGACAGAUGUUUGAUUCUAAAUCUCAUAAUCUUGCUAUCUCUCCACCUGGGAGCUGCAGGUAGAUAGCUGAUCACUAUGAUAUUUCAGUCUGUAGGCAGAAAUGGGAAUAGGUUUGCUAGAGCACUGGUGGCUACUUGAGGGACUAUCAGAAAAGAGCAUCAUGAUAUCAGAUAUACGUUGGUAAGAACAUCAAUCCUUUUGGCAUCUUAGGUUUGUGUUUUUUUUUUUUUUUCCUCCAGAGGCUGGCAAACAUUUUUAGGUCAGUGAUCACAGCUUCUGUUAAUUCUUUAACUGUUCAGGAACCUGGGAAAUCAGUACUUGAGUGAUGGUCUGAACAGUGAAUGAUCUGAACUGGUGUAUGUGGGGAACUGUUAGGUCACAACUUGAACUGGGGAUUGAGCACCUGGACAGGGGACGUAGGCUGGCUCCUGAGAAGGAGUGCUGCAUGGCCAGAAACGCCCUUCACCAGCUGGGUGUGUUCAUCUUUUCUUCCUGUGUAUGACUAUUGGCCUAACUGUAAGUUCUGGUGUAACUAAGAACCUCUCAGAAGCAAUUUUGUCUCUUUGUGAGCAGAACAGAGCAUAAACAGUAUUGUAACAGAAGUGGUUCUUUGGCAUCAACAGAAACCAGGAAGCGUUUAGAAAUAUUACAGCUGGAACCCAAUAGUUAAAAAUAUGAUACUUGGUCUCUAGAUUCUUAAGGUCUAGCACAACUAAGACCUUGAGUUACUAUGAAGAAGAGUUAGCAAAUAUCCAAGUACGUAUUUCAUGUGAUUUCUGUCUAGAUGAGUCAGAUGAGUUUCAGUAAUUUUCAUAAUGAGCCAGAAUGCUUUAAUGUUUCUAUUUCAGAAUACUGAGAAAACCUAAUGAAUUUUUACAGGCAGAAGACACAUUUUGUUGAUUAAUCAAAACCACCUUCACACCAUCAUGAAUAACUGGCUUACACUGAGUUGAGCAAGCAAUCAUUUUUACUGUAAUUCUGGUGUAUUUUUUUCACAGUCAAGUACAAGCUUUUUUCCAACCCAGAUACCAGUGGAAGAUGUACUUUUCUUUUUCUUGAAAAGAAAGCUAAUUUGCAAGUAAAUUAUGAAGGGAUUAAAAUUACUGAUGUUAAAAUAAACCGAGAACAUUGUGUCACUUGAGACUUAUGCUUUUAGUUAUUUGCGAUUACAAUUUGCUUUUAUUGUUCAGUAAUAUAUGGUAGGUCUCCCACAUACUUUUGAAAGUUCACCUAGUUUGAUGGAUAUUUUGUCUCUUCACUAAAUAAAAGAAUGAGUAAUAUGAAUAAUGACAAUAUUAAUGUGUGGAAAAAAAAACAAAACAAAAUCCACUGUAACUACUCUGGAUGAUAAUUACAGGAAACAAUGCCUUAAAGUCGUUGCCAAACCACAACUGCCCCCUUUUACAAGUAAACAAAAGUACCUGCAGAAACUGAGAAUCUGUUUAUUUUACUCUGAUUUCCACAUUUCAAAUACCACAAGUUUUUCUGGGCACCGUGUAUACUUAGCAUUUAUACAUCUAUCUGUAUGAACUGCAGUUACAUGACAUGGGAAGACUUACGUCUGGAGCUAACACGAAUUGUUCAAGUCCAGGAGUCAUAUCAAAAGCGAAGUGCUGUACUGUGUGUGCCCCUCAGCUCCAUGCACAUGAAUUCUCAGUUCCUGCUGGGUUUAUUUUUUCAUCUGGAAAAAUAAAAUAGUGUGAACUUUGAUCCUUUGACUCAAGUUUGGGAAGGAUUACUUUUGUUUAGGAUCAUGGCAAUUUUGUUAAAUUAGAGUAUCAAAAACUUGCCCCACUUCUGCACCAUUUAAGGCUAUCUUUGAGGACAGUGCUUUGCCAGGGAGGAAAAUAACAUUAAAUAGUGCAAGUCGGUCCCUAGGCAACUAAUCCCCAAAGAACAGCAUAUAAAAACAUCUGGAAGUAAUUCUGGUGACAUUGAGGUUGGCGGAUAAUGCAGCUGCACUGUGCACCUUUACUGUGAAUGGAUAAUUCACAUCCUGUGAAGCUGUAGGCUGAAAACAUUUCUUAUCUAUGUAUUGGCACUAUGAUGUUGAUUAUUCCUUCUUUCCAUGCUGUGUAAGAUGACAUAAAACGGGACCCAUUUUGACUAAGAUGGCCUAGACGCUAUUUUGGACUUGCUUAGCUUUUCUAGACCUCUCUAUGUUCAAGAAAGCAUUUGAAAUAAAGUAGGUGAAUGCCUGUGUGUAAGGAAUUCACUGAACUGGAAGGUUUAUGACACAUUAGAACACAAGUGAAUAAAAUGCUAAAUACAAUGUAGUUUUCCAGGUGAGCUGCUUUGAUUAUAUCCAAUAUUUACUAUAAAUACAGUUGGUAAGCUCCUGGCGGUAGCUGAUGCAUCCCUCCAGACAAUCCAAACAAGCCCUCCAUAUACUCUAGCCAAAUGUCUAGUACAAACACACUUGCUCAAGAUGCCAGAUACUACUGCUUUUCAUCAUAAAUGUGAAAAACUUAAUAUUUUAUUUAAAACACCGUGAAUAUGCCACUUCGUAUUGGAAGACCACCUGAGGAAUGGAAGAAAACUCCCUCUCCAAGCAAGGAAGAGAAGAUUGUUAUCAGUAGAAGUCAACAUGGAUUCAGCAAGGGGAAGUCAUGCUUGACCAACCUGUAGCUUUCUGUGAUGUCAUCACUGGCUGAGUAGAUGGGAGAGAAUGGUGGAUACCAUUCUCAACAAGAGCAAGAGAAGAGCCUUGCACCUGGGGAGGAGUGACUGCAUGUAUCGAUCCAAAGACCUGCUGAAGAAAUCUUUGCAGAGAAGGACCUGGCUGUUCUGAUUGGCAACAAGUUGUCUGUGGGCCAGCAGUGUGCCUUUGUGGACAAGAAGGCUGUCCUGGGAUACCUUAAAAAGAACGUGGCCAACAAGUUGAGGAAGGUGAUCUUCCCAUGCUCCUCUGCCCUGCUGAGCCCACAUCUGGAAUACUGACUCUAGUUCGGGGCUCCCCGGUUCAAAAAAGACAAGGAAUCUCCUAGAAUGAGUCCUGUGGAGGGUAACAAAGAUUAUUAAGGGCCUGAAGCAUCUCCCUUAUGAGGAAGGGCUGAGACCUGGAACUCCUCAGUCUGAAGAAGAGACAGCUGAGAGGGAAUCACGUAACUGCUUAUAAAAGUGUGGGAGUCAAGUUGAUGAGACUCUUUUUGGUGGUGAGCAACAGUAGAACAAGGGGAAAUGGGCAGAAACUGGAAGACAGGAAGUUCCAUGCUAAUGCAAUGAAGAACUUAUUUCCUGUUAGAGUGAUGGAGCACUGGAACAGACUGCCCAGACAGCUUACGGAGUCUCCUUCCUGGGAGAUUGUCAAGACCCCCCUGGACAGCCACCUCUGUGACCUGUUGUAGGGAGCAUGCUUUAGCAAGGAGGUUGUGCUCCAUGAUCUCCCUCCCAAC